CUAAGCGUCCAUAGCGACGGCGCAGUUCGGCACCUCGAUGUCGGCUCAACUUAUCCUGGAGGUGAAGAAGCUUCCAAGGGUUUGGCUGUUCGCCAAUUAAAAAGUUACGCGAGCUGGGUUCAGACCGUUUAGAGUACGAGUAAUCGCACUUUGAACAGUCUGAAUCCCUAGGACAAAGAGGGAAUUGAGUUCGACCAAUCACGGCGGCCACAUAUAGCGAUACAUGUGGAAAAGUCAGCUGAUAUCGGUGGAGUCCUAACCCAACAAAUGUUAGGAUAAUACCGAGGGACUCAUGAAAAAUCUUUCGUCAGAAAAGAAAUCUUAUCUUGCUGGUUUCCUUGAUGGAGACGGAAGCAUCUAUGUGCGUUUGAAACCGAACUCUACGUAUAGAUUCGGGUAUCAAAUGAUCGCAUACGUCGCUUUCUUCCAGUCAGGGAAACACAGAGAAGAGUUUGAGAAAGUAUGUAAGUUGAUGCCGUAUGGCCUAAUGAGGGCUAGGAAGGACGGAAUACUUGAAUACACAAUCUCGAAACAAGAAGAAAUUAUAGAAUUUCUCUUGAACAUCAAAGAUUUUCUUGUCAUGAAGAAGCCACAAGCAGAAUUAGUGCUUGAGGUAAUGAAACUUCGACAAGACAUCAAUGAUAAAAAAGAUUUCCAGAUUCUGAUGAAUAAAAUCGAGACUUUUAGAGAGUUAAAUUACUCAAAGAAAAGGAAAACUCGAAUCAUGAACCCGUAGAGACUACAUGCUGAACAUCUCGAUAAAACGAGAUGAAUAUAUAGUCCAUUCCUUACAGUAAUGUGAGAAAAGAAGCGUGAGACAGGUUGGACUCCUAUCUACUGCAGGCGUUCGAUUCUUGAGGGGAUUUGCUCCUAGUACGAGAGGACCGGAGUGAACCGACCGCUGGUGUGCCUGCUCUCCUGCCAAGGGGACCGCAGGGUAGCUAAGUCGGGAAAGGAUAAAUUCUGAAAGCAUCUAAGAAUGAAGCCAACCCCAAGAUUAUGAAUCGUGGCCCCUUCGGGGGCGAUAGGGCCCUGGGAGAUGACCAGGUUGAUAGGUAUUAGGUGUAAGCGCGGCAACGCGUUGAGCCGAGAUAUACUAAUUGCCCGAAUUCCUAUUAGGA
rnacentral:rRNA from 1 species